GUAGGUGGCAAGCGUUGUCCGGAAUUAUUGGGCGUAAAGCGCGCGCAGGCGGUUCUUUAAGUCUGAUGUGAAAGCCCACGGCUCAACCGUGGAGGGUCAUUGGAAACUGGAGGACUUGAGUACAGAAGAGGAAAGCGGAAUUCCACGUGUAGCGGUGAAAUGCGUAGAGAUGUGGAGGAACACCAGUGGCGAAGGCGGCUUUUCUGGUCUGUAACUGACGCUGAGGCGCGAAAGCGUGGGGAGCAAACAGGGAUUAGAUACCCUGGUAGUCCACGCCGUAAACGAUGAGUGCUAAGUGUUAGGGGGGUUUCCGCCCCCCUUAGUGCUGCAGCUAACGCAUUAAGCACUCCGCCUGGGGAGUACGGCCGCAAGGCUG
rnacentral:rRNA from 1 species